rnacentral:rRNA from 1 species
UACGGGGGGAGCAAGCGUUGUUCGGAUUCAUUGGGCGUAAAGGGUGUGUAGGUGGCGCGCUAAGUCGGGUGUGAAAUUUCGGAGCUUAACUCCGAAACUGCAUUCGAUACUGGCGUGCUUGAGGACUGGAGAGGAGACUGGAAUUUACGGUGUAGCAGUGAAAUGCGUAGAUAUCGUAAGGAAGACCAGUGGCGAAGGCGGGUCUCUGGACAGUUCCUGACACUGAGACACGAAGGUCAGGGGAGCAAACGGG